AAAAUAUGAAGCCGUUGACUUUUUGUCCAACGUUUGACUAUUCGUUUUAUUAAAAAAUUAUAUAAUUAUUAUUUAUUUUAUUGUGACUUGAUUCAUCAUCAAAUGUUCUUUAAGUAUGACAUAAAUAUUUUCAUAUUUGCACAAAAUUUUUGAAUAAAACGAAUGAUUAAACGUUGGUCGAAAAGUCAACGGCGUCAUACAUU
rnacentral:pre_miRNA from 1 species